rnacentral:lncRNA from 1 species
GGACGUGUGGGUCAGGUGCCUCAGUGACCACGCCGUCUUCGUGCAGAGUUACUACCUGGACCGUGAAGCUGGCCGAGCACCUGGUGACGCCGUCCACAAGAUCUACCCGAGUGCGUAUAUAAAGGUCUUUGAUUUGCGGCAGUGUCACCGGCAGAUGCAGCAGCAGGCGGCCACCGCGCAAGCCGCAGCUGCUGCCCAGGCGGCAGCUGUGGCAGGAAACAUCCCUGGUCCUGGGUCCGUAGGUGGAAUAGCCCCGGCCAUCAGUACGUGUGCCUUUG